rnacentral:lncRNA from 1 species
AUGUGGGCGAGACUUACGUAUUAUAAUUUCUGGAAGUCUUGCCACAUGUUAAUCUGGUAUUUCUCUCCUUUUCCUUUUUUUUCUAGUUUUUACAAUACGAGAUAUUUACGACGAUUUGUGCUUACGUGGAAUUAACGAGUAUUAUGUUUAAAUCCUUUUACGUGGUGUUUACGACAAUUUCUGCUUACGUGGAAUUAACGAGUUUUUAUUUAAAUCCUUUUACGUGGUGUUUACGACGAUUUCAUCCUACGUGGUAUUUACGACGAUUUCAUCCUACAUGGUCUUUAUGAUGAUUUGUGCUUACGUGGAAUUAACGAGUGUUAUGUUUAAAUCCCUAGAAUCCGAAACCCCAAACCCGAAACCCCAAACCCCAAACCCGAAACCCGAAACCC